rnacentral:rRNA from 1 species
CCUACGGGAGGCUGCAGUGGGGAAUAUUGGACAAUGGGGGCAACCCUGAUCCAGUCAUGCCGCGUGUGUGAAGAAGGCCCUCGGGUUGUAAAGCACUUUCAGUGAGGAAGAACGCCUGGUGGUUAAUACCCAUCAGGAAAGACAUCACUCACAGAAGAAGCACCGGCUAACUCCGUGCCAGCAGCCGCGGUAAUACGGAGGGUGCGAGCGUUAAUCGGAAUUACUGGGCGUAAAGCGCGCGUAGGUGGCUUGAUAAGCCGGUUGUGAAAGCCCCGGGCUCAACCUGGGAACGGCAUCCGGAACUGUCAAGCUAGAGUGCAGGAGAGGAAGGUAGAAUUCCCGGUGUAGCGGUGAAAUGCGUAGAGAUCGGGAGGAAUACCAGUGGCGAAGGCGGCCUUCUGGACUGACACUGACACUGAGGUGCGAAAGCGUGGGUAGCAAACAGGAUUAGAUACCCCAGUAGUC